CUACGGGCGGCACCAGUGAGGAAUUUUGCGCAAUGGGGGAAACCCUGACGCAGCAACGCCGCGUGAGUGAAGAAGGCUUUCGGGUCGUAAAGCUCUGUCAAAUGGGAAAAAGGCCUUUGGCUUAAUAGGUUGAAGGAUUGAUGGUACCAUUGGAGGAAGCACCGGCUAACUCCGUGCCAGCAGCCGCGGUAAUACGGAGGGUGCGAGCGUUGUUCGGAAUUAUUGGGCGUAAAGAGCGUGUAGGCGGGUUGGUAAGUCAGAUGUGAAAGCCCCGGGCUCAACCCGGGAAGUGCAUUUGAAACUGCCUUUCUUGAGUAUGGGAGAGGAGAGUGGAAUUCCCAGUGUAGAGGUGAAAUUCGUAGAUAUUGGGAGGAACACCCGUGGCGAAGGCGACUCUCUGGACCAAUACUGACGCUGAGACGCGAAAGCGUGGGGAGCAAACAGGAUUAGAUACCCUGGUAGUC
rnacentral:rRNA from 1 species